UCAGAGCCAUAGCCCUUUAUGAUGUAGUAGGUGCAAAAAGCUACCAGAUCCACUGAGCCCUGCCUAGGCAAUAAGCAAGUGAAGUGUGAGAGAAGAGUUCAAAUUGGCUUACAGUGAGAUGUUUCAAAUGAGAAAGAGAUUAGAAAUAAAAGGUGAUUUUCAUGGGGGUCCCAGUACUGGAAAAUAAGUUUAUCAUUUCCAGACUGUGCUAGAGCCUGCUAUCUUGAAAUAUUUAAAAAUCUCAGCAAAUAGUUUUUGCUGGCAUAAUUGUUGGCAGUUUUCAGGUAUGAUCAGGUAGGCCUUAACUAUACAUGGGUUUUGAAAAGUACACUCCAUGUCAGACCUAAAUUAUUAUACCUGAACUGGCUAAGGACAAGACUGUGGUGAAGUCAGCCAAGACACAAAGAACAUUAAUAAUGACCAAAAAAUGUCAUGAACUUGCUAAAUGCUGUAAUAAUUUAUAGUUUAUAUAAAAAUUGGUGUUUAUUGAUAUUGUUGAUAUCGUGGUCCUCAUCUUUCUAGGAAUAGGGGAAAUGAAGCAAAAGAGUUAUUUUUGUAUGUCAGAGGCAUAGCUGGUCCUCCAUCUCCACCCAGAGGAAGAUACAAGAGGUAAUUACCUGGGUGACCCAGGGCUUAUCUGAACCUGAGAGGUUGACGGGAGCUCUCGCUUACUUCUGCCGGAGCAGGAGAGAGAAAUGGCCCUGGACCACAGUUUGUAAGCAAUAAAUGGGUUUUAAACUUUA